GCUUCCAGCGCCGCUUGCGCUCCGGAGCGCUGGCUCUGCUGGCGCUGAGAAAUGGACCAAUUUUGACAAGAUAUAGUGCUGCAGCGUGCCUGAUGGGAUAUAUUCAGUCAUGGCAUCCGAACUUUGUAAGACGAUCUCUGUGGCAAGGCUAGAAAAGCACAAGAAUUUGUUCUUAAAUUAUAGGAAUCUGCACCAUUUUCCUUUGGAGUUACUGAAAGAUGAGGGACUGCAGUACUUGGAGAGACUCUAUAUGAAAAGGAACUCCCUGACAUCCUUGCCAGAAAACCUUGCUCAGAAGCUUCCAAACCUUGUGGAACUAUACCUGCACUCAAAUAACAUAGUUGUGGUUCCGGAAGCCAUUGGGUCUCUUGUAAAACUCCAGUGUCUGGAUCUUAGUGACAAUGCCUUAGAAAUUGUUUGCCCAGAAAUUGGUCGUCUGAGAGCUUUACGUCAUCUUCGAUUAGCUAAUAACCAACUGCAAUUCCUACCUCCAGGGGCAGGAUCUCACUCUGUCACCCAGGCUGGAGUGCAGUAAUCGUAGCUCACUGCAGCCUUGACCUC
rnacentral:sRNA from 1 species